UACGGGAGGCAGCAGUAGGGAAUCUUCCGCAAUGGACGAAAGUCUGACGGGGCAACGCCGCGUGAACGAUGAAGGCUUUCGGGUCGUAAAGUUCUGUUGUUAGGGAAGAACAAGUACCAGAGUAACUGCUGGUACCUUGACGGUACCUAACCAGAAAGCCACGGCUAACUACGUGCCAGCAGCCGCGGUAAUACGUAGGUGGCAAGCGUUGUCCGGAAUUAUUGGGCGUAAAGCGCGCGCAGGUGGUUCCUUAAGUCUGAUGUGAAAGCCUACGGCUCAACCGUGGAGGGUCAUUGGAAACUGGGGACUUGAGUGCAGAAGAGGAAAGUGGAAUUCCACGUGUAGCGGUGAAAUGCGUAGAGAUGUGGAGGAACACCAGUGGCGAAGGCGACUUUUCUGGUCUGUAACUGACACUGAGGCGCGAAAGCGUGGGGAGCGAACAGGGAUUAGAUACC
rnacentral:rRNA from 1 species